UUCAGAGAAGGGUGGGUAGGUUACAUCUAGCCACACAUUUCUCUGGAAGUUAUUUAAAGAUUACAGGCUCACAUUCUGGGCAUAUUUCACAAAAAGCCACACAUGAGCAGUUCCCCUUUUGUGUGAGUUUGGACUGGUGCUCUGCAGGCUGAGGGUCAGUGUGCAGUGGAGAGAGACUGGAUGUUCUUCUGUCCGACACAGACAUGAAUGAAGUGGUGUGGCUCAUUCUCAUUGGCUGCCUGCUGCAAGGAGCCCUGGGCAGAGAGUGGGCAGUCUGGAUGCCUCAGAGUAUAAAAGCUCUGCGUGGAUCCUGUGUGCUGAUUCCCUGCGGAUUUGA